GAUGAACGCUGGCGGCGUGCCUAAUACAUGCAAGUCGAGCGAACGGACGAGAAGCUUGCUUCUCUGAUGUUAGCGGCGGACGGGUGAGUAACACGUGGAUAACCUACCUAUAAGACUGGGAUAACUUCGGGAAACCGGAGCUAAUACCGGAUAAUAUUUUGAACCGCAUGGUUCAAAAGUGAAAGACGGUCUUGCUGUCACUUAUAGAUGGAUCCGCGCUGCAUUAGCUAGUUGGUAAGGUAACGGCUUACCAAGGCAACGAUGCAUAGCCGACCUGAGAGGGUGAUCGGCCACACUGGAACUGAGACACGGUCCAGACUCCUACGGGAGGCAGCAGUAGGGAAUCUUCCGCAAUGGGCGAAAGCCUGACGGAGCAACGCCGCGUGAGUGAUGAAGGUCUUCGGAUCGUAAAACUCUGUUAUUAGGGAAGAACAUAUGUGUAAGUAACUGUGCACAUCUUGACGGUACCUAAUCAGAAAGCCACGGCUAACUACGUGCCAGCAGCCGCGGUAAUACGUAGGUGGCAAGCGUUAUCCGGAAUUAUUGGGCGUAAAGCGCGCGUGGGCGGUUUUUUAAGUCUGAUGUGAAAGCCCACGGCUCAACCGUGGAGGGUCAUUGGAAACUGGAAAACUUGAGUGCAGAAGAGGAAAGUGGAAUUCCAUAUGUAGCGGUGAAAUGCGCAGAGAUAUGGAGGAACACCAGUGGCGAAGGCGACUUUCUGGUCUGUAACUGACGCUGAUGUGCGAAAGCGUGGGGAUCAAACAGGAUUAGAUACCCUGGUAGUCCACGCCGUAAACGAUGAGUGCUAAGUGUUAGGGGGUUUCCGCCCCUUAGUGCUGCAGCUAACGCAUUAAGCACUCCGCCUGGGGAGUACGACCGCAAGGUUGAAACUCAAAGGAAUUGACGGGGACCCGCACAAGCGGUGGAGCAUGUGGUUUAAUUCGAAGCAACGCGAAGAACCUUACCAAAUCUUGACAUCCUUUGACAACUCUAGAGAUAGAGCCUUCCCCUUCGGGGGACAAAGUGACAGGUGGUGCAUGGUUGUCGUCAGCUCGUGUCGUGAGAUGUUGGGUUAAGUCCCGCAACGAGCGCAACCCUUAAGCUUAGUUGCCAUCAUUAAGUUGGGCACUCUAAGUUGACUGCCGGUGACAAACCGGAGGAAGGUGGGGAUGACGUCAAAUCAUCAUGCCCCUUAUGAUUUGGGCUACACACGUGCUACAAUGGACAAUACAAAGGGCAGCGAAACCGCGAGGUCAAGCAAAUCCCAUAAAGUUGUUCUCAGUUCGGAUUGUAGUCUGCAACUCGACUACAUGAAGCUGGAAUCGCUAGUAAUCGUAGAUCAGCAUGCUACGGUGAAUACGUUCCCGGGUCU
rnacentral:rRNA from 1 species